rnacentral:tRNA from 1 species
CGGGGUGUAGCGCAGCCUGGUAGCGCAGCUGUUUUGGGUGCAGCAGGUCGAAGGUUCGAAUCCUUUCGCCCCGA